CAUAUUUAUUAAAAGCCAGAAGCUAGAAGACGAGGAAAGAAGAGAUGCAACUGGAGAGCCUGGGGUGAGAACAUGAGCAGUCUAUAAUCAGAAAAUCCCUUUGGGAUAAAUUGACAAAAAUAUAAACCACUCCACAAAGGAGAAAUUGUAAAUGAGUUGUUAUGUAAAACCUCCUAGCGAAAGAAAUAGUCCAGAAAGCUUGAAGAGAAACUGAAACUUGAAAAAUCUACCUAACAAAGGUGAUAAAGGAUUUUCAGUUUUGCAAAAAACGCAAUACAGAGUGUCUUUGGAAAGAAAGUUCUCAUAUGGAUUUAAAAUAUGAUUCAAUUUACAGAAGUCAGAGUUGUUCUUCCAGAUGGCAUGAAUCCCACAGUGAAGAAAUCAGAAUACGUUGCUUUUGUGAGGGGCAGCUGCUGAUUUUCUCUGAGCUCUGUUUCCAGCCUUUACAUGCUCUGCUGUUCAUCACAGGGUAAAUUCUGACUAUAGGAGGUACUGACAGAAGAUUAGGGAAGAACAGAGGGCUAAAUGUUUAUUGACUUCUUGAAAAAUGCUAUGUGUCUUGCCA
rnacentral:lncRNA from 1 species